rnacentral:rRNA from 1 species
GAUGAACGCUAGCUACAGGCUUAACACAUGCAAGUCGCGGGGCAGCAUGGGGGUUGCUUGCAAUCCCCGAUGGCGACCGGCGCACGGGUGAGUAACGCGUAUCCAACCUGCCCUUCACCACGGGAUAACCCGGCGAAAGUCGGACUAAUACCGUAUGUUGUCCAUUGACGGCAUCCGAUUUGGACGAAAGGCUUGGCGGUGAGGGAUGGGGAUGCGUCCGAUUAGCCAGACGGCGGGGUAACGGCCCACCGUGGCUACGAUCGGUAGGGGUUCUGAGAGGAAGGUCCCCCACGCUGGAACUGAGACACGGUCCAGACUCCUACGGGAGGCAGCAGUGAGGAAUAUUGGUCAAUGGGCGUAAGCCUGAACCAGCCAAGUAGCGUGCAGGAUGACGGCCCUAUGGGUUGUAAACUGCUUUUAUGCGGGGAUAAAGUGGCCCACGUGUGGGCUUUUGCAGGUACCGCAUGAAUAAGGACCGGCUAAUUCCGUG